AGUGCACGCUGGCGGCGUGCCUAAUACAUGCAAGUCGAACGGAGUGGAGCAAGGGUGUGUAAUAUAUAGCUAAUCUUCCCUUGAUGGAGGGAAACAAUUCGAAAUGACUGCUAUUACUCCAUAUCGAGGGCUGAGACUAUAUCGUAUCAGCUAGUCGGUGGGGUAACGGCGUACCGAGCGUAUGACGCGUAACUGGUAUGAGAGGAUGAUCAGUGACAUUGGAACUGAGACACGGGCCAAACUCCUACGGGAGUCAGCAGUAGGGAAUAUGUCGCAAUGGGGGAAACCCUUACGCAGCAACGCCGCGUGGAGGAUGACACUUGUCGGAGCGUAAACUACUUUUGUUAGGGAAGCGGUACCUAACUAAUAAGCACCGGCUAACUACGUGCCAGCAGCCGCGGUAAUUC
rnacentral:rRNA from 1 species